UUUGUUUCUGUUGUAUAUGCAAUGGAGUUACCGUUAAAUUAAACAAAACUGAAAACUGAACAGCAAAAUCACUCAAGCAAUUUUAAGAGGAUUUUUUCUGUGUACUUCGUCUUUUACAACGUAGUUGACCUCAUCGCAUCCAUUGCAUAUUCAUCUGCAUUUUCGCAAUGAAAAAUUUUUUAACAUACGAAUAUAUACCUGCACACAUUUGAAGAAGACGUUAAAAGGUUUAUGGAUGACAGAGUAUUGUAGGUCUGUGUCCACUGUUUCCGUUUGCGUUAGUUGACAAGCCGACAUGCUUCUUCUUUUUGCAACGCUUCACUUUGUCCUAAUUAAUGUUAAUAUAAUAAUAUUGAGUUUGUCUGA